GUUCCUACGGGGCGCAGCAGUGAGGAAUAUUGGUCAAUGGGCGAGAGCCUGAACCAGCCAAGUCGCGUGAGGGAAGACGGUCCUAUGGAUUGUAACCCUCUUUUGCCGGGGAGCAAAAAGCGGUACGUGUACCGCAUCGAGAGUACCCGGAGAAAAAGCAUCGGCUAACUCCGUGCCAGCAGCCGCGGUAAUACGGAGGAUGCGCGCGUUAUCCGGAUUUUUUGGGUUUAAAGGGUGCGCAGGCGGCGAGUUAAGUCAGCGGUAAAAUUUCGGGGUCCAACCACGAC
rnacentral:rRNA from 1 species